CCAACAAUGUGUCAUACACCAGUGCCAACAAUGCAACUAUAAACUGAAAGCAAACACAGAAAAUAUCAUGAAAGAGAACAACACAGUCACGGAUUUCUCAGUUACUCAUACAUUUACUUAUCACCAACAGAUAGUUCUUGGCGGUGGCAAGCAUCCAGAUUCCAUCAGGCAAGCCUAAUUUGAAUUUCUUUGGAAUUUCAUUUGUUCAGGAAGGGGAAAAGAAAAUCUUAGUCACC
rnacentral:lncRNA from 1 species